UGCCAGCAGCCGCGGUAAUACGGAGGGUGCAAACGUUAAUCGGAAUUACUGGGCGUAAAGCGCGCGUAGGCGGUUCGUCAAGUGGGAUGUGAAAGCCCGAGGCUUAACCUCGGAAUUGCAUUCCAAACUGACAGACUAGAGUACGAGAGAGGGGGGUAGAAUUCAGAGUGUAGCGGUGAAAUGCGUAGAUAUUCUGAGGAAUACCGGUGGCGAAGGCGGCCCCCUGGCUUGAUACUGACGCUGAGGUGCGAAAGCGUGGGGAGCAAACAGGAUUAGAUA
rnacentral:rRNA from 1 species